CCAUGGAGCGGCUUGUGGUUUUGAACUGCUGAUCUUGCAGUUAGCAGCCCAACACGUAACCACUGUUCCCAAACAUCUCUGAAUUCCUGAUGGAGCUUCUGUUCUUAUAGAUUCCUUCCCCAGUGGAUUUCUUCAGCUUGUGUUGGUCUUCCUUUAGUCCAUGGCACCCAAAUAGGAAGCUCAGGGCCUUUCUUGAAUUACAUAUGCUCACACACACAAACUCACCUCUCAUUCACAAAUUACUUAUGACCGUGAGAGAUUAUACUGAGGAAAUAGUGCGGAAGCAAGAGAGGAAGAUCUUAUUAGCACAGCAGGACAAAGUUCACAUAAAAGAGCAGGUAUAUAGUUGUCACCAUUCUGAAGCGACCCCACCACGGUGAGUUUUGCUGACCCUCCAUUUUACCUAGACUCAAUGGAUCUCCACACUUUCCACCCUUCACUCCUCCUCAGGCUUCCCCUCCUCUCUUUAGUUCUAACAAGGGCUGGAAAAAUUCCCUUGGAUACUAUAGGCAGACUAACACUUUGGCACCCUGGAAGGUGACUAAUUAGAUGUCUUUUUCAAUUGAUGGUUGGAUGAAGUCAGAAACCUGAGUGCAAGGGAUGGGGAGAAGCCAAGGCGGAGGACCGCGCUCAGCCUCUCUCUCGUUAUCAUGAGCAAUUCUGCUCUGACCCAAAACGCGCAUGCCUCCCCAGGUACAAUAAAAGAAGUACAUUUGGCAAACUAACAUUCCUUAGGAGAUGUUUUUGUUUUAAAAAUCAUUCAUCUGUUUUUAAGUAAUCAUGUCCAGGUGGAUGAUGUCCUUGACCUCAUAAAGCUCAUCAAAUUACUUGUAACAAAUCUACCAUUCUCUUUCUGAGAGUAGGUUUGGUCAUCCAGGGACAUUGCAAUUUGUAAAAUUUUGUAUACAUAGAAGUCAAACAAACAAAUCUCACGAUGCACGAUUUAUUCUGGCAAAGGAUGUGUGUUGGUCAGUGCAAGAGAAGAGUUUAUAGUGCCCUGGACCCUCAGGUUGAAAAAUUUGCUGUUUUAAACAUAUUUAAACUUUAGCGUAUUUGAAUGGUUUUCAACGUUAAACAAAAAGUGAGCGUUUACGGUGACUUUUGUAUUACACUCUUCUAAACCAACCCAGAUUUGCUUCCUGUGCUCCUGUCCUGAACACCAAGGAUUUGAGAGGAAGAAGAAAAACACUGCAGUUUGUGAUGCAGAAUGGAUAAUUCUUCAUGGUCCUGUACAGCUGCAUGUGCCGGUAUCCCAUUAGACUCUGGGUCUGCUCAGCGUUCAUUCUGGAAUUUUUAAAGUGUCAUAACAGUAUGCUUUCAAAAGAAUGGGCUCUUGCACACACGCCCUCCCCAAGCGUGUAAUGUUGUCAGGGUGUUUUAUCUGCUGUCGUAUGUCGCGCACAUGAUGAAUCCAUUUCCCUAAACAAACCUUCACACAUGUCCUCACUAUCUAUAAAUUUUGAAUCCUGACAUUGACGCCAUUACCCUCUGACGUCUGGACUGCCCUGAGUUGGGUGAUAUUUUCUUUUCUUUUUUUUUUGAGUUGGGUGAUAGUUUCCAAGAAUGAAGGGCCGUCACUCUUUUCUUCCUGAUGGAUCCCCUUGGGAGAGAGGCAUGUCAGGAACACGCGAGCCUUAACCCUGCCGAGAAAAGCCCCAGAUAUGCUCCCCAGGUCACCAGGAGAUUAAACAGGCCCGAUCUGUAAGCAUCCUCACCUCUGGGGGUUGAUAACAAGGUCGCCCUGUACUUAGCUUGGGCUUUAUAAUAAUACAUCUGGCAUCAAUCGAGUCUCUUAAUUUCCAAAGUGCUUUCCUAUUUAUGACUUCAUCUUGCCCUCUCGGGAGAAGGAAAGGAGCCGGCUAGUAUGAGCAGACCCGGCUUUCUCCUGCCCUGUGGCGGCGCGCCUCCCUUCACCUUUCUCAGGUUGAGUUUUCCCACCAGUCAAGCGGUAUCCUCAUCGCUGUUGUCUGCUUAGGGCUGUGCAAAUGCAAAUGUGCUUGUGAAAGUGCCUUGGGAAACAUAAAAGCCACGAGUUAGAGAUGUGUGGUGCUGAUAAAAGCCAUUUGCAGAGUCUGGAAGUUUUACUGCUAGAAGGCACAGAAGGAAUAACAGAGGAAAGAGGAUUUUGGUCUUUAUCUUGGGAUGGCAGGCGUGGUCACAAAGAAGACACACUAACUGAUAGUCUCUCCUUUGGGCUGCAGGGCAUCGCUGGUGUUGGCCCGUCCUCCACCCCACCCUCUCCCACUCAGGAAAGCACGGGAGAAUGCAAAGAAGUGAGGCAUGUGGUGUCAUCUUGCUUUGAUUUGAUUUUACCAAAAAAUGCAAACUCAAGAUUAUUCUUCGAAAUAAAAACCUUGCUCAAAUGGACCAGAGCUAAGCAUCCUCCGUGUAAGAAGCAUCCUCCUUUAUGAGCAGUUCCAGAAAACAUUUUGGGAUUAAGACUCAUCAGAUUAAUCUGGAAUCACUGCCCCUGGGCCCUGAACAUCAACCACUGCGUGCAGGUUGACUUCUCAUGGUUGCAUGACGGAGGUGACAAGAAUGUCCUGGGAACAGGCACGCUGGUGCGGCCAUAUUUACCUCUGUCAGGAGAGAGGCGCUGGCCAAGGAGUUGAUCACGGUAGAUGAAGCAGGCCUUUCCCCUUAGAAAACAAACCCUCUUCUCUUGCUCUGGUUCAAGCCGUACCACGUCUUGCCUGCCUCCAUACCAAACCCUGUGGCCCAGAGGAUGGCAUAUGCUGGGGAGCUAUUAGCUCCUUCCCUGGAAUCCACAGUGCAACCUGCAGGAAUGGCGUGGGCACCACAUCGGACCUCUACUGGCUACUCAAGAGGGAAAGAGAAUCCAACUCCACCUCAGCCAAGGCGAAUUCCCCAAGAAGGAGGCCCCGCCCCCUCCCCCUCCAGCCUGCUUCCUCGAAUAGAACCCCAACCUUCCCUCCAGAGGGACUCUGCUUCUCUGCUGGGUUUGGCAAAUUGUGAUGGCCACACAGAACUUAUCGACAAUACUCACAGAUAGGGGGUUGCUUAGGGAAGUUAACAGGUUACAACAUUUAAAGGACCCAGCCCUUUUGUCCACAGUGCUUUUUCGCAGCCCGGCGGACAGACCCAAUUCCUCUCUGGUCCCCAGCCUUUCAGCCACAUGGUUCUUGGCCUCUGUUCUGCUUGGGCAAGUGGUACAAAGCUCUUUUAGUGAUGAUAACUGCCCAAAGGGCUCUGCAGCUUUUGGACUGUAGGCACUCAGCUCUAUUCUGUGGGCCAGAACUCCCACUGCUCUGUCCCAUGGUCUCUGUGCUGCACGCUCUGCUGGCCCUGCGGCAGCUGCCAUCCUGGUAGGCGAGCAUCAUUCACUUAAGAUUCCCAGGGCUCCAGGCUUUGUGUUGUGCUGCUGUCUGUGUUGAGCCAGGAAAUGAAUUUAGCAAGAAUUUGUUCUUAGAACUCCUCGGUGCUCAGCACUCUUCCCCAAGAGUAAGGCCACAAGAGUUGACUGUGGAUCAUCAGGUCUCUCUUCUGAGUUCUCUGAGUCUGGAAGUUCUGCUGAAGCCUGUUCAGGCUUAUGAGCAACACACACUCACCGAGGCAGGGGGUGGCCCCUGAGAGGCACUGACCAAGAACUGAUGCCAGAUCUCCCAUGUGCAAUGUAGUCACUCUGCCACGGAGCCACCAAUGUCUUGGGAGGACAGAGCUGCCCCGUCGAGCAGGGCCGCCCUUAGCCACAGAUGUCUAUUUAAUUUUGUGUUAAUUAAAAUGAACUAAAGUAAAAAACAAAAACACACAAGUAUCUGUCAUAGGAGGGGGCUUCAUCUGUGGAAAAAUAGAAUGAAGAGAUGAUAACAUUUUUCAUGAACUUUUGGGAGCAGCCUCCCAUUAGCCAUAGGCAUCAACACAUGGAAUGGUACCCAGCACACAGCAGGGCUGGGGGAAAAAGCAUGAGAAAAUCCAGAAAUUAUCUGGAAUUGAUGUCUUGUCCUCAAGCCCCCGAGGGCUAAUCUUAACCUCUUUGUUAGACAAUUUGCCAUCACCUGGUCGCUUGCCCAUAAAAAGUCUGCUUGCAGGUAAUUUUAGUGUUUAUUCUUAGUAGGGUGCAAUUCUUCCUUUUUAUCCUAAAACACUAUGCAGGGGGUGUGAGUCCAGAGGAAGGGAACACUUGGUGUUUCUAACAAAUGAGUCACUAGAUACCUUUGGCUGAAGCUGUCCAAACAUGGUCCCUCUUGAAUACCGACCUGGUGUUGGGUUUUCAGGAAAGAGCAGGUUCAGUCAUCUUUGCUGCCCCUGUAGUGCCGAGGAUAGUGGAUGGUACUGAGAAAGCAAACUAACCCAAACCUGACAACCAAACGCCCAGCCAGCAAGGCAAUUCCGACUCACAGCGAUCCUACAGGACAGAGUAGAACUGCCCUUGUGUGUUUCUGAGGCUGCAAAUCUGUA